GAUGAAAAUUCAACCGCCGUACCUCUGGUCGCCAGAAACUGCCGUUGGAGCCGCCACCUUCUUGGGAUUGUUUAUCGCGAGUUGCUCUGUCGUACGCCGCUGUCAGAGCUACCAUUCCACUACUGCCGCCUUUGCUCUGAGCCGUUAAUUGUAGCGAGUAUUGUUGUCAUGGCGGCUGCUCGGUUUAGUCGCUCCUCUUUAGUACGGAUCAAGGUCCGGUUGCUGCACGUUGGUGAAUUUAAGUUACUGCUAUGGGUGCGAACACCAUGGAGCUGUGAUUGCGAUUGUUACCAAUGUCGGGCCGAGAGAAAAAGAGUUCCGGUGACGUGUUUGGUCUAUAGUUUCGACUUAUUGAGGAACCAGAUGAAGAAGCAUUAAGAAGAGUUAUACUGUGUUUGGUUUAUAUGUUGUUGUAUUAAUUAGAUUAUUUUCUCCCCUCGUCAAUGUUAUUACAAGUUUGUAAGAGGGAUAGGAAUUGUAUGUUUUAUACGUAUAUUAUAUUGAAUUAUUAUAUAAGGAGUCUUGUAUAUGAAUCUAUGCCUGCUUGUAAUUUUCUUAAAAUAAAGUAUCUAUUUUCAGUUUUCAAAGAAAUCAGCGAUACAGUAUCGAGUUACAGGCUCCUAUUCUAAUACUUAGUAUGUAAAGUAGUCGUAAUACUCCUUGCUAUCAGAGUAGCGCAGCCGGAAGCAUGAUUUCUGAUAGUUAGGGUGUUACAUUUAUAUGGCUAGAUCUAAAAGCACUAUAAUAAAAAUCUUGAAUGUUUGUAGGAUGUAAUUAUGAAUAUCAAGAGUUAGGAUCAAUCCUCCUCGGAGCUAUCACAAGAAGAUAUGUUUGUACAAGGCUUUGAAAUAAAUACUUAGGACGAGUUCAUGUUGAAAAUUUUGGGCCAUGUCCUACCCAAUUCUUUGGUCAUACUACAUAGUAGUCGAGUCCUGGAGUGCAAAUAGAAAAGUAUUAAGAGAUGAUUAUCUAAUUAAAGGCAAAGCUGAAUUCCUUGGCAAGUGCAUUGACUUAAUCACAAGUAAGACCAUCUUCUUUUGGCAAUCCUAACCUACAAUGACAACUAUGAGUUCGAACU